AAAAAAAGAAAAAAGAGGGGUGGUCGUAGGUAGGGGGUCGUCGGGGUCGUCAGUUGACCUACUAUAGAGUAACAGAAAGAGUUAAACAAGGUGAGAACUAUGUACAGUGUCAGACUCAGCUGUCUAGGUCGGUGAGUCAGUAAGGGGUGGACUGUCCCACGUAAAUAUGUCCCCCCUUGUCGCUCCCCCCUAGUGUGUUAUACAGUGUGUCUGUGGGUACGUGAGCGUCCGCAGGCGCAGGGUUGUGAAGGUGGGUCUAAGAGUUGUCACUACCAGCUCCCCCUUAGCCCGUGCUGUCCCGCAGUAGUCCUCCUCUUUCCGGAGGAUAUACCUCGGUGCCUGGUCAUGUCCAGGUCCCAUCCCCCAGGUGGACCCCCCCCCCCCAGGGUGGCAGUGCAAUUGAUCUCUGCGUAUCGCGGCUGCCGUUUCCAGCGUACCGUGGCCGCCCAACUACCCAAGCAGACCCUAUGUCCCUCUCGUCUAUGGCAGACUUUAC